rnacentral:lncRNA from 1 species
GUUAUGCUCUAAGAUUAUCGAUUACUUUUCCGUUGUUGCUUAUUUCCCACAGCAGCAGAAUGAGAACGGUUAUUAGUUAAUAGCCAUCAGAGACAGACCAAGUGGAACACAGUCCUCGGAAAAACGCCACUCUGUAGCAUUAGUAAUUAAAACCUCACAAGGUUUGUAUUUCCUGAAGGAGGCCGUCAGUGUCAAUGCUGUACUAACGACGGUACUGUACGUAAGUUUCGGUACUGCCCCCACUUUCUUCUCCUUGACAUUGUAUUACUAAAAGCUGCAGCUACUCUCUACAGUUUUCUCAUUGGUUACUAAUGUCUGGAACAGCAGCUAGAUUAUGCAGUAAGCUCUUGACUUCUCAGUCCUUUAUGUGGAGCUGGGGGCAGGAAGAAUUGCUUCUGGAAGCUGAUGGAGUUGGACAUGUGGCUUUCUAGAAUCUGGAUGUGAUGGUGCAGGAAAAACUCCUGCCCAUUGAGAGGGCUCCGUAAGUGCUUCCCAAAAGAGAAUGAGAAGGAAAAGGAGAUCUCCACAGGAACUGCCUCCUUGGAUCCAGGGCAAAAAUGAACCUCCUAUUGGAGAGAAGUGCCCAGCUUGUCAAGAAGUUGAAUCGGUGCAACCAGCGUUUGUGAAAGCAGCAUUUCCCAUUUCACAUAAAGUCAGCUUCUGGCCAACUGGACAAGUCUGAACAAAUAUGAAACCCACUAAAAGGCCAGUGACAGGUGCACACACUACUGACUCUGGCUAGAGGCUGUGGCAGGAAUUGGACUCAUGUCAUCCAGCGACAGUUCCACCAGCAUCUCUUGUGGCUUCCCAAGGACCAGCCUGAGGCAAACUCCUCAGUGGUGUGAAGACUUUCCAUGUCACUGGAAACCCACCACAGAGUUCUACCAAGUAACCAUGCCUCCACCAGUCCACAACAAACUUUUAAGGCCUCUCCAGUUAUGCCUGCAACCAUCCCACAUUAGCAACCUAAGUAGGCCACCAGUAGAGCUGGUCAAGAGAAAGGAUAGGUUCAAUUAAUUAUUUUUUAAUUAAAAAAAAAUAGAGACAGGGUCUUGUUAUGUUGCCGAGGCUGGUCUUGUACUCCUGAGCUGAAAUUAUCUUCCCGCCUCAGUCUCCCAAAGUGCUGAGAUUACAGGUGUGAGCCACCGUACUCAGCCAGAUAGAUUCAAUUUUUAAAACUUUAUUGCCAUUACUGUUCAGUAACCCCUUGAUAUGGUUGAAUAUUUGUCCCCUCCAAAACUUAUGCUGAUAUCUAAUCCCCAAUGUGACACUAUUGAGAGCUGGGGCUUUUAAGAUGUGAUUAGGUCAUGAGGGCUCCACCUUCUGAAUGGAUUAAUCCAUUCAUGGAUUAAUGAGUUCAUGGGUUAAUAGAUUAAUUUAUCUUGGGAGUGGGAUUAGUGGUUUUAUAAGAAGAGUGAGACCUCAGCUAGCAUAUUAGCACUCAGCUCCCUUGGCAUGUGAUACCACCUUGGGACUCUGCAGAGAGUUCCACCAGCAAGGCCUGUACCAGAUGCAGCCCCUUGACCUUGAACUUUUCAGCUUCCAGAACUGUAAGAAAUAGGCCAGGCAUAGUGGUUUACACCUGUCAUCCCACCACUCUGAGAGGCCAAGGCCAGUGGAUUGCUUGAGCCCAGGAGUUUGAGGCUUCAGUGAGCUAUGAUCAUGCCAUUGC